rnacentral:lncRNA from 1 species
GGGGAAUGGCAGCUCAGCCAGUUCCUGCCCCUGAGACUCUGAGGCCAAGACGAAGACGUCUGGUAAUUCUGACCUUUGGUGUUUACAUUACCAAAGGCCAAACACCUUUUGGAGUAACAGGACUGAAGGACGAAGCUCAGAAGCUUUGCUAUUCAUCAAACAAACCUUGGCAUGACAGAAAACACUGAUUUGGAUAAUUAUAUCAGCAUUUUGGUGUUUCUCCCCCCAAAGAUUAAUGUUUAACAACGGAAAAUGCAGGAAGGAAGCGGUGGGUGUUGGGCACUGGGAUUUUCCCUGUGUUUCGUGGCAGCCAUGUGCCUCCUGCCCUCAUCCUCAGAUAAGACAUGGCCUUGCUUUUUCUUUUCUUUUCUUUUUUUUUAAGGUUGAGUAGUUUCAGAAUGGAGACUGUCUGCUGGGAAACUCUAAAAAUGCUGCUGACUUCACCACUCCCCUGUGCUCAAAAUCCAUUUAUGUCCAUUUAUGUCCACUUGUGGUGCCAGCUGAGUCACUCCAGGACAGUUCUUAGCAUUUCUGCAUCUUAUGAUUUGCAAAGAGGAAGGACGAUACUUGCCCAGAGAGUUCCCUGGUGGUCUAAUGGUUAGGACUCGUCACUUUCAUCGCUGGGGCGCCGGGUCAGACCCUGGUCUGGAAACUGAGAUACCACAUCAAGUUGCAACAAACAACAAACAAAACAAAACAAAGCAAUAACAUGCCCGGUUUAUCUCACAGCACUGUGUUAGCAAACAAGAGAAUCCGUGGGAGAAUCCUAUUAAAUCAGUGACAUUCAGUGUGGAGACAGAGGCGGGGCAGAAAAUGGUGAGGCAGGCCAGUGAGAUAUGGCCUGUGAGGUCAGCCAGCCGACCUGGUGUGGAGUUCAGGCCAUUCUGAUGGGCUACGCAGCCCUGGAUUUAAGACUGGGUCUCCUCUUUUUACUGAAUGAGGUAAAUUCUUCAACGUACAGAAUUAUGACGGUAAAUGAUACACAUAUGUGAAAACCCUCCAAAAUGCUCCUCUUAUCUUUUCUAGCCUUCAUAUUAUCCCUUCUCUCUAUCUUAGAACCCACGGAAGAUCCUCAGACCAAAGCGAGGAGCUCAGACUAGCAGACAGGACAGUAGAAAACCAGAGAGAGGUCAUUAUGGCACCGGAAGAAAUGAUAAGUUAACAAAGGAGGAAGGAAAGAGAAGACGAGGGGAAUAACAGGUGGGUGGGCCUAGUUCAAGGAAGGGCUUUGAAGCUGUGUCAAGGAGUUUAGCAUCAUCUAGGCCAGUCAUUUCCAGGAUAGACUAAAAUGUCACAAAAUCGGAGUGCACUUUCUAAGGGGAAAAAGGGUCCAUAAUCUAUAUAGAGUGACUUUCGGAGGCCAGAGAAAGCCCCAUGACCCCCCCUUUUUUUUCUGCUUUAGGGCCACACCCUCAGCAUAUGGAAGUUCCCAGGCUAGGGGUCAAAUAGGAGCUACAACUGCUGGCCUACACCACAGCCACAGCAAUGUGGGAUCCGAGCCACGUCUACACCACGGCUCAGGGUAACACUGGAUCCCGACCCACUCCGUGAGGCCAGGGACUGAACCCACAUCCUCAUGGAUACUAGUCGGGUUCGUUUCCACUGAGCCACAAAGGAACUCCCUGACUAUGUUUUUUAACUGUUCCAGAACCUGGGUAGGAAAGAUGGGUAUUAUUUAUUAUUGUCUCAAAAACACUGUAAGCAUGUGACCCCAGAUUUAAUUCUGCAUCCUUUGUCUGAGGUUGGGAAUUACUCCAUUCAGUGAUUCCUUUCUGCGCCCUCAGUGAUCUGGGUCGGUUUAGAAGGGGAUCUGGACUGACUACAUUGCACAUCAAUAUAAAUGAACCUUUUAGGAGUGGGCAGAAGUAGGGCUGGAGUCUGCUGUCAGCAGCCAGGGGAACCAGCAUUGGGCAGGGGCAGAAUGGGAUUGAUGGUAACCUGCUGUGGGACCUUAGGGAAGUGACUGGGGCUCUCUGGGCCUCAGAGCCCUUUCAGCCUUAACCCCAUGAUUCUAUUCUUCAAACUCUUUCCAUAUGUACAGUGGAAUAUUACUCAGCCAUUAAAAAGAAUGAAAUAAUGCCAUUUGCAGCAACAUGGAUGAACCUAGAAAUUAUCAUACUAAAUUAAUUGUCAGACAGUGAGAGACAAACAUCAUAGAAGA